ACAGAUUUAUGAAUCCUAGGAUAUUCUAUAGUUUUGUGCUAUCCAUCACUCAACAACGACGACAUCAUGAUGAGAGCCUGUGCUUCCUGAAGGACAAUCUGCCAAGUCACCAACCAUAAGAUGGGGUUCACAGUGCUGAGUUGAACUGCAGCCAUGGAUCAGAGGACCUUUCAGGAUUGUAACAAAAGGAACAGGACCUAUAGGGAUGUGCAAGUGCCAGGCUACCUUCCAAGUAAAGCCUAAAAUGGUUCAAUUUGGCCUCCAAACAGAAUUCUUCAUGUGUUUCUUCAUGAAACUUGAGACUGCUUUCUAUGGGACCAAGAUGUCUGAAAGCCAUCCAUUUCCAAAAUUGCAUCAUUAGAAGUCAUUCAAAUGAGAUUCUGAAGCAAUUUGAGAGAAUUUUUAGAAAUCAAAGAAUUAGAAACUUCUUUUUUUUUUUAGUAUCUCCUAUAUUUUUCCUUGUUUCUUUCAUUUUGCUAUUGAGUCAUCAGGCUUGCUCACAUCCUGAAUUAAUUCCUUUUCAUUCCUCUUCUGUGCUGAAGCAAUCUGCAUGAUUGUGAGCACAUCAUCAUUCAUUUCUCAGCUGACUUCAGCUCGGUUUGGGACCCAGUUGUUAGCCUGCGUGGACUGUGAGUUCUCAGCUGGAGGAGUUCUAACUGGUAUGCGAUGUUGUAAUUACGAUUUCCAGCUCCCGAUUCUGCAGCGUGUUGCUUAGUUACUGAGGCAUCCUCCUUACACUGUGAUCUAUACUCUCAUUUUGCACAACUUCUUUUCCACAAACGCUAUCUGGGUGCCCUUCAUUGAAACUCUCAUCUUUAUGUAGAAAAGUGCCUAAUUUUGAUCACAACCUUAUUUCCUAGAAAGGUGAAACUAAUUCAGGGAGAAACAUGCCGAACCAUCACAUGAACUCUAAUUUCAGAAGUGCAUGUCUGCUCCAUGCUUGAUACUGAGCAGUCAUAUACAGUGUUCUGCAAUUAGUGAUAACAUGCACAGGCUAAGUUCAUUCUUGAAAGUAAAAACCUUUUGAAAUAUACCAACAAUGUAAUAAUUAUAGAUUGCAUUUUUUAACAACUGACCCUUAAAAAAUGUUUCCUCUAAA